GAUGAAGAACGCAGCGAAAUGCGAUAAGUAAUGUGAAUUGCAGAAUUCAGUGAACCAUCGAAUCUUUGAACGCACAUUGCGCCCGCCAGCAUUCUGGCGGGCAUGCCUGUUCGAGCGUCAUUUCAACCCUCGACCUCCCCUUGGGGAGGUCGGCGUUGGGGACCGGCAGCACACCGCCGGCCCUGAAAUGGAGUGGCGGCCCGUCCGCGGCGACCUCUGCGCAGUAAUACAGCUCGCACCGGGACCCCGACGCGGCCACGCCGUAAAACACCCAACUUCUGAACGUUGACCUCGAAUCAGGUAGGACUACCCGCUGAACUUAAGCAUAUCAAUAAGCGGAGGA
rnacentral:misc_RNA from 1 species